AACUUGCUUUGCCUCGAUCUUGCCUCUAAUCUAGGUCAAAGUCCUUUCGAAGCAUCAUCACAUCUUUUCUUACAUCUUAGUUCUCGGCCACUUGGUCGUCCACUUCUACACCAAGUCAAGACUUUGUCAGGAUGAGCUUUGACCUUUCACGGAGUCAAAACUAACUAUAAAGUUCACUUGAAGCUUCCUACCACUCAAUAGACCAAAUAAGUCUCACUACUUACCAGGUCAACACUAGCUUCUAAAAGCUCACUGGGUGCUCACCCAUACUUUAAGACGCCAUCCCAAAUCUUAAAAUGGAAUGAAGUUUCAUUAUGCAUUCGGGCACGUUUACGAGAAUUGUCUCUCAGGUCCUUCGUACUUACCAAAUCUUACCAGACAUCCAUCCAUUAUCAAAGCAUGAUGACACUUGCGACCAUGUCAUAUCAAUCGAGCAUAGCAUACAAAAAACCCAUCAUAUACCACAACCUCGACCCUUGGGAUAGGGUGCACUUUUGACACAACCAUGCCACCCAACACAGUCACUAAGUUGCUCGUUCUCAAAGGAAGUCACCCAAGGCACUUGUCGCAUAAGACUCGCCUAUGCCAUGACACACGCAUAUGCCGCGAGGUAGCUCACUUGGGCAUCCAAGCCUAGGGGUGGUGGAGAGACAACACACUCAUAAAUUAUAAGGCAUUUUUUAUCUAUCACCCAUGGACGUCAAAAUGGAAAAGGAUCACUUGUCAUUGUGGAGUGCCCAUUUUAACUCCAAUGAACAAAAAAUUUGACAGGCUUGCAUAUCCCAUUUAUACACAAUUAACUCCACAGCCACUCGUCCAACCUCACAAUAGAACCUUGACUUUUAGGGAACCCUUCUAGUCCCCUAUAAGCUUGUCUUUGACACUUUUAUUGCCACGGUUGUUUCUAACUCACUUAGAAAAGAAGCUAGCUUAUACAGACUUAUUUUUUCUUUUUUAUUCCAUUUUCAUUUUUUGUGAGCUUUUAUCCCCUAAAAGUU